GCGGCCCGAGCGCGGCCCCGCUCGGCUCCUGUGCGGCUGCCGCGGAGCCGGGGCCGGGCACGAUGGCGGCAGGGCCGGGGCCGUGGCUGCUGGCCUUGGCCUUGGCCGUGUGGCCCGCAGGGCUCCGGGCACAGCUGAGGCUGCAAGAGGCCGGCGGAGGGCUGCGAGCGGCCGGGGACUCCGUCACCCUGUCCUGCCGCGGGUCCGGAUUCACCUUUAGAGAUUAUGGAAUUUGGUGGUACCGUCAGGCUCCCGGAGGCAGCCUGGAGUGGGUGUCCGUUAUUAGUUAUGAUCCGACAGUCUUUUAUUUUAGCCAGUCAGUGCAGGGGCGGGCCACGAUUUUCCGAGACAAUUCCCGGUCCGAGGCUUAUCUCUCCCUGCGGAGCCUGCAUCCCAGCGACUCUGCCCGGUACUUCUGCGCUGUUCCCACGGGGACAGGAAACCCAGCUGAGCUUUAACACAAACCAGCUCGGGUCUGGCUCAGCACCCACGAAAUUUGGGGACGGUGAAUUCCAAAGUGGUUCAGGGCUGUUCCUAAGGAAGCCGGGGCCAUCCCCACUCGCAAGAGAUCCUGGCCUUUCAUGAAGAGCUCUUUUCCCAACACUGAGGCUUUCCUUCUCCUGAGUCCCAAUUGCAAUGUUCUGUUCUGUAGAAGAGGAUUAGGUUUUUCUGUCAUCCAGUGGGCCUGGUGACUGCCUGGCUCCAGUCCCACUCUGCCUUCCUUGGUCCCCUUCUUAAAUGGAACAUGCAAAUCACCUGGGCUUUGGCAACCCCUUUGCCAGCUUCCUUUAACCCUUGUGGGAGUCAUCUCCUUGCACCACUGAGAGCAAAGCAGUGAUGCAGUGGGCCUGAUUUUCAUUCAGGUGCAUUUCGAGGUGAUGAGAUCCAAGCAAGAAGCUCUGCAGUGUGGUGGCCAGCAGGGAACACUGGGACCCUCCAUUGCACUUACAGCCCCAAACCUCCUGUAUUUACAUGGCCUGGUAUCUGCAGCAUCCUGGUGAGCCCCUGCAGUAGCUGCUGCAGUGCCAGGGCCAUGGAGGCUCCUGCAGCCACACAGCCCCUUUUGCCCAUAGGAGCUUUUCCUGCCAGGCUGACCACAGCUCUGGGACUCUGACCAUCAGCAGGCUGGAGCUGGGAGACAGUGCACUCAAUUACUGCACCCUGGAGGGACCACAGCGAGAGACACUUGGGGUGUGCCUGAAGUACACCAGCUUCCUCCCCUCCUGCGUGUUCACAUGGGUCCCAGCCCAUGCAAGGGGAGAGUCAUGAGGGGGCUGUGCCUGGGGUCAGAGAA